CCGCCCGGUCAGCAGCGGCGCAAUCGGCGGUGCCGGGUGUGAGCGCGGAGCCGGGCCUGGGCAGCGGUGGGGCCGUAGGACCUCGCGCUGCGUUCGCGGGCUCCGGGGCGGGGGCGGCGGCGACAAAGCCCCCUCCCCGGGGAGGCGGGGCCUGGGCGAGCUCCCCAGCCGGGGAGCCGCGGCGGCUGGGAAGGAUGCAUCAGAAGCUGCUGAAGAGCGCGCACUACAUCGAGCUGGGCAGCUAUCAGUACUGGCCAGUCCUGGUGCCCCGCGGCAUCCGCCUCUACACCUACGAACAGAUCCCCGUGUCCCUCAAGGACAACCCGUACAUCACCGACGGCUACCGGGCCUACCUGCCCUCCAGGCUGUGUAUCAAAAGUUUGUUUAUUUUAUCUAAUGAAACAGUAAACAUCUGGAGUCAUUUGCUGGGUUUCUUUCUCUUCUUUACACUGGGAAUAUAUGACAUGACAUCAGUGUUACCUUCGGCAAGUGCGUCCAGAGAAGAUUUUGUAAUUUGUUCUAUUUGUCUUUUCUGCUUCCAGGUCUGUAUGCUUUGCUCUGUGGGCUAUCAUCUUUUUUCCUGCCAUCGAUCAGAAAAAACCUGUCGAAGAUGGAUGGCACUAGAUUAUGCAGGAAUUUCUAUUGGAAUACUGGGCUGCUAUGUCUCCGGUGUAUUUUAUGCUUUUUAUUGUAAUAACUACUGGCGUCAAGUGUACUUGAUCACAGUGCUUGCCAUGAUCCUGGCCGUGUUCUUCGCACAGAUCCAUCCGAAUUACCUCACGCAGCAGUGGCAGAGGCUCCGUUCUGCCAUCUUCUGUUCUGUUUCGGGGUACGGGGUGAUCCCGACUCUUCACUGGGUUUGGCUCAAUGGAGGAAUCGGUGCUCCUAUUGUACAGGAUUUUGCACCCCGUGUAAUUGUGAUGUAUGUGAUUGCUCUUCUUGCUUUUCUGUUCUACGUUUCCAAAGUUCCCGAACGGUACUUUCCAGGACAACUAAACUACCUCGGAUCAAGCCACCAAAUAUGGCAUAUCCUUGCAGUGGUGAUGUUAUAUUGGUGGCAUCAGUCAACAGUGUAUGUCAUGCAGUACAGACAUAGCAAGCCUUGCCCUGACUAUGUUUCACAUUUGUGAAUUCAGCUUCAAAAUCGUAUUUUAGAAUCAGGAAUGAAGAACAGGGACUGUCACAUCUUAUGGCAUCCCACGUGGACAAAGUAACCGAUUUGAAGAUUGUGACUGACUGGCAUAAAGGUGUGCAGCUCCAUUUGGCAGGUACCUACCUGGAGAUAUCUUUGCCCUGCACUAAACCUCAAGGGGCAAAGUCUCACACUUCUGGACCCCUGCCAGUUGCUGAGCUGAGCAGGAGUUAAUGCCAAAAAUCCAUCAGAAGUAUCUACUGUUUAGAAGGAAAUGGAGCAGCACCAAAGGGGUCUAAUUCAACUGACUGGGACUGUUGGGACUGAUGUGAAGUGAUGCUUUGCACCACAAGUUCUGUAAAGGGCACGGCACCAAAAUCAUCCAUUUUCAAUGCAUCUGCACUAUGGAAUGAGCCGUGCAGGGAACUCGGUCGUGGCCGCCCAGGCAGGACGGGGUUGUGAUCAGCACGGAUGUCACUCAGGCCCUGAUGUGGAGGGUGCCACGGCAAGUCUGCAGGAUGGAAGGGCUUGGCACCAAAAGGGUCCAACAGACUCUCCUCAGGUUGCAGGCCGUUCCCUCUGUCUUUCCCGUCGGUCAGUGCAACGCUAAUGUUCUCCUUGGAGUCCGAGAUGGUUAGAAAUUCAUUGCUGCUUUGAGAGUCUCGGCGGCCCGCCUUCUUGUGCCUGCGAGCCCUCUCUGGAGUGCGGUAGGCAGGCUUCACAGUCUUCUUUGUGCUGGUGGGCGUGCCGUGAUGCCGCUUCCCAUUGCUUUUGGACAGAUCCUGCUUUGUGCGCCUUUGGCGAGAAGAGAGUUUCUGCAAGCUCCGCUGUUUGACUUUCUGCUGUUGACUCCCGGUUAUUUCCUCAAAGGGCACAAGCCCAAAAAGGUCCUCCUUGUUGUCACUUUUACUUGUUGAUGUGGUAAAGGGCUGAAAUGGAGUGGAGCCAAAUAUAUCUACACUUUUGGGGCAGCCAGGGAGGGCGUGUGCCUCAGGCCCCACUGCACGGCAGUCUUGUGCACUGACCUUCUUGCUGAAGGGUGCCUUUGUGAAUACAUCAAACUCCUCCUGCUCCAGACCCACAGUAGGACAGAGGGUCUGCUGACAGAAGUUCUUGUCGUUCUCUCCUUGGUGAGGCUGCUGAGGACGCACGGCGAAGAAGGGGACAGCGCCAAAUACGUCAAAUUCCUGGCUGGGAGCCUCCACUCCAACAUCAGAGGGUAAUCGGGUUGGGGUGAGGAGUGUGCUGGUGGGAUCUGCCACUGGUCCACUGCCAGAUCUGUCACUAUAGACAGGGCUCACGUCGCUGUACUUCACCUUGGCCUGCUCAUAAUCAGAAUCAGAGCUAUGUUUCUCUUCUUCCUCAUCUUCAGAAUCCAUGAGGAGAGGCCUGUGGCCCAGAUUCUCUGGUUCCGUAUCAUCGUCAUUAAAAUCUCCUUGCUCUCCCUGAAGCACUUCCUCAUCCUCUUGUUCCUCCUCCUCACUGCUCUUAGGAGAAGGAGGAUCGGAUUCAAAAUCACUUUCAGACUCUUCAUUCCGCUUUGGCACUGGAUCCCGUACCACUGAAUUCUCUGAGGUUUUCUUUCCAGUCCGGUGAUCUUUAGAUACUGGACUUGCUUUUCUAUUCUUGAUAGGGUUUGCAGAACUAUUUUCUUGAUUCGUGGAAGAAUGUUCAGUUUUCUUUUCAGGAGAACCUGCAGGUUCAAAGAAAAAAAUAUUAUAGCAUUCUAGUACAUUUUAAGAACCAUUUGCACUGAACAAUAUGCACUAACACGAGCCGUUACAAAUCCUUCAUACCAGUUCACUUAGAGAAAGAAAUAGCAUCAAUUAUUUGGUCAUUGGGCUUAGGGAAUGCACUUGUCCUCAACCAGAUCAUUAGGUCCUCUACUGCAGAGAGAUUUCCUGGUGUCUGUACCCUACAUACCGCCUACUCACACAGACCCUCCUUGCCAACCAAGUUUUAUUUAUAGGACCCAGAAUAGGACUCAGAAUAUAGAACACAGGCCAGUUUUCUUCACCUUCAAAAUAAGAUUAUUCAACUCAUUGCCUCUACUCAGAAUCCCACAUUUACGAAACCUUCUGCUUAUAUUUCAACUACAUUAUAAAAUUUUCCCAAAGAGAUCAGCAACCAUGAACAGCUUGUCUGCUCAGUUAUAUGUUCCACUGGAAUUUUUUAAAUUAGCAUUCUGGUUUCCUUAUAAACUAAUAUCUUAUGAGUUAGGUUAACAUGAGUGCAUCCCCACAAUCUGAUCAAAGCCAAGGACUGGGUACUGAAUUAAGUGACACUGUACCAAGGACAUCUGCCUUCUCAAGAUGACAUAUGUGCCUUUAACUACCAUAUCUUUACUACUAAACAUUACAUUAAAAGCAUGCUAUCUUUAAAAAGAAAACUACCAGUAUGUUCACUGCAUGAUGGGUAGUGAAACUGUAUCAAAUAAAUACAGUGCUUUACAAUUUCAAUGUAUGGUAUAUAAUAAAGACUGUAUUCGUUACAUGAAAAUAUACUGCUCUCCCAAUAGAGUAGUAUAUUUAAUAGAUUUUCCAGAUGGAGGGAUCAAUUUGAACUAAUGCAACCACAUAUCUAGUCAUCCCUUCCCUUCCUUUGACUAAGAUCAGAUAUUUUCAAAAUGAUUAGGGUUGGAAGUAUAGUCUGUAGUCAUGAAAACAUGGAUCAGCAUAUAAUGGAAGGACCACUACUCCAUUCUUACUAACAUGGUCCCUAUGGUUUAUGACACCUCUGAGUUCUGACCUUCUCUCUGAAAGUCAGCACCAGUGUCAUCCCACCUCUCUGACUACUCCUUCUGGGUCAUAUUUGUAGAGACUUCUCUUUCACUAACAUCUCCAUAUACAUGUAUGUUCCCAGGGUUCUGCCCUUGGUUUUUUCCCUCUGUGUGUCCUCCCAUGGUCUUAAAUACUUGUAUGUUAAUUGCUACACACAACCUAAUGACUGAAUCUCGAAUACUGACCAUGAAUACUUAGUCAUCUAAUACUUGGGAAUAUGUAUUGUACCAUUACUUCAAACUCAGUAAUUCAAAAGAGAUCAUCUUUCCUCUAAAAAUGUGCUCCUCACCAGUUCCAUCUAAAUUAACAAAUAAUACCUCUGUCAAACCAGUUCUGCAAACCAGCAGAAAUCUGGAAACCAUCUUCCUUCCUCACCAGUAUUUUUAAACUCUCUUGUAUCUGUUCCUUCCUCUUCCUCUGCCAGUUGUCGAUUUCAUUUCCUCCCAUUAUUGCCUGUCUAUCUCCAGUACAUGUCCAGCAAACCACUCCUCUACGGGGCCACCAGAACGACUUCUGAAACAUUAUGCGGCUACAGCUUAAAACCGUCCAGUAGCUCUUUAAAGUUCCAACCCUUAGCCCAGCACAGGGUGCCCUUCUCCAUCUGGAUUCUGUCCUACCAUGUCUUGAGCCUCAGACCCUGAUGUCACACAUGGGUAUGCUUCAUUAUCACCACACCCAGCCUGUCCCUACCCGAACUCAGUAAUUGAACAGAUUCAGAUUUU